rnacentral:lncRNA from 1 species
UAUUAUUAAAUGUGGAAAUUUGCUCUUCUCUUUACGUCAUUUCUAUGUAUUAUCUCUUUGAUGAGAUUAUACCGCCUUAAUACAUGUUUGGAUCAUUGAUGAGACCUUAGUUCCUUUGCUUUCGCAAUGGCUCUAUUGUUAUCACAAUACUAUUGUAUGUGAUCAACAAUAUCAGGAACUACUCCAAGUUCAUUUAUGAACAUUAUGAUCCAUAUUGCAACUCUUUGCUACUUCUGAAGUAUCCAUGUAUUAGAUUUCUACUAUUGAAUCAACGGUUGCUUCACGUUUGGAACCUUUCCAACAUACCGCUUAAGAGUAAACCAGUUUCUCCAUAUGAAAUCUUCUCAAGAUUUCAUCUAUAUAAAUUGGGAUGAGUUAAGCAAUCUUCUAGAUCUACCUCUAUAGAUCAAGUUGUUUAUCCCAUAUCAUUUAUGAAUAAAUCUUUUAACAACCAUUAUUUCAACGAUUGAAAUAUAGGGAUGUCGUUUUAGGAAUACGAAAAAUGCUCCCACUAUCUUCUUGUAAACACACAAUUCAUUUUUCAAAUUUGAUAAAAUCAAACACUUUGACUUUUUAUCAAAUCUAAGAUUUCAGCUCCAAGACACUUCUCUUAACCUAUAGUCACGAUAUGCAACUGUUGCAAACAAAACCCGAAUAGACUUAAGCAAGGCUACAGGAGAAAUAUUUCACUAAGGUCAACAUUUAACCUUUGCUUUUAGCAUUGCUUUGUAUAUAUGGAUAUUCAUAUCCAUAUCGACCUUUUCUUUUGUAAACUAUUUACAAAAGCUUAUGGGCUUUAUU